rnacentral:misc_RNA from 1 species
ACCACUUGAUUAACUCUAAAAUUACAUAUACGUUAAAACUUAUACCUUAAAAAAAUAGCGUUUACGUGUCAAAAUAACGGAUGGAUAGAAUUUUACUUGAGAAUAUUGCAAGAAAAUUUUUUUUUUUGAGAAUAUGGCAACAUUGGUUAAAAAGUGACAUGACAGCCGACCUGUCGAUCUUUCAUCAAUCUCCACGUGGUAUGUCGUUUGUUUUUUGUUUUGUUUAUGUAUUUUUAAAUCAAUAAUCAAUGUGUUGGUUCGUUCAGUUCGUUGUGUGUAGAGUAUUUUAAUCGCAAUUUCAUUUUCUAAACGGCCCUAGGAUUAACAAAUUCGGACCACUCUCUUGGAUUUCUUAUAAACAAAGACAGUGGACACAGUACAGCACUUGGGCCACAUGUUUUAGUACCAUUGAAUUUAGUAAAUGGUUUUGUACCUUUCCAAUAUAUUUAUUAAGUUUAUAUGUCAACUAUGGAAUUCAAAGAAGAAAUUAAGGAAGAGUUUAUUGAAGGUGAUCCAAGUUAUAUAGAGAAUCAGCUGUCCACAUCAAUAGAUUUAGAACACUUCAAAAAUGAAUCAGAAAAUAACUCAGAAAUGGGACUAAAAGCUAGAAUUAAGGAAGAUUUUGCUAAAGGUAGUCUAGGAUAUAUAGAGAGCCAACCAUCUCCAUUUGCAGAUCUUGAAGAGGUGAUUAAUAAACCAAAUGAAGAUAACUCAGGUUUUUCCCAGAACGGAAUGGAUAUCAUGAAAACUGAAGUUGCUUGCCCUACAGAACAAAAAAUAAGCGCAGAUGCUGAAGAAACAAUAUUAAAAAAAUCUGUUUGUGAAUGUAAAAUUUGUUUUAAACAAUUUAACCAUGCAUGUUCUUUGAGACGACAUAUAAAAAUACACUCUGGAGAAAAGCCUUUCAAGUGUGAAAUUUGUUUAAAGCAGUUUAGUCGAGCACAUCAUUUAAAAACACAUUUGAAAGUUCACACUAGAGAAGCGUCUUAUAAGUGUGAAAUUUGUUUUAAACAGUUUAGUCUAAAACGUAAUUUGAAAACACAUUUGAAAAUACACACUGAAGAAAAAUCUUACAAGUGUGAAUUUUGUUUUAGAGAGUUUAUUCGCGCAACUAGCUUGAAAUAUCAUUUGAAAGUGCACACUGGAGAAAAACCUUACGAUUGUGAAAUUUGUUCUAAGCAGUUUAUUCAAGCAAGUGACUUGAAAACGCAUUUGAGAGUGCACACUGGAGAAAAGCCUUACAAGUGUGAAAUUUGUUUUAAACAGUUCAGUAAAACAAGUAAUUUGAAAACACAUUUAAGACUGCACACUGGGGAAAAACCUUAAAGGUGUGAUAAAGAGUUUAAUCAAACAAAUAGUUUGAAAACACAUUUAAAAACGCACACUGUACAAAAAACUUACAAGUGUAAAAUUUGUUUUAAGCAACUUAGUACAGCAGGUUCAUUGAAAAUACAUUUAAGAGUGCACACUGGAGAAAAGCCUUACCAGUGUGAAAUUUGUUCUAAGCAGUUUAUUCAAGCAAGUGACUUGAAAACGCAUUUGAGAGUGCACACUGGGGAAAAGCCUUACAAGUGUGAAAUUUGUUUUAAACAGUUCAGUCAAACAAGUAAUUUGAAAACACAUUUGAGAGUGCACACUGGAGAAAAACC